rnacentral:sRNA from 1 species
AAGGAUCCCAUGUGAGAAGCUCACUGGGGCCCCUGGGGUGGCCUGUGGGCAGCUCUCGUUCCUCACCUGUGCCAUCCCUCUUGCAGUUCAACAGCAUGAUCCUUUACUGUGUGCCCAAGCUGCGGCUCAUGGGCCAGAAGUUCAGCGUCCGGGAGAAGAUGGACAUCUCAGGCCUCCAGGUGCAGGAUAUCGUCAAGCCAAACACAGCACAUACAUUCAUCAUAACGGGAAGAAAAAGGUCCCU